GACCUCCACCCAGCUUGGCUGGUCGGCAUCCCUGUCACACCCUUACUUAGGCUGCUUGGGGAGUUGCACGGAAGGGGUUACUUUGUUCCUAUCACAAAAAAGGGAGGUUGAGAAAGUGGAGUUCUGAGCCAGGUGGUCUUGGUUCAUCCAUUCAUCUGUUCAUCAAUUCAACGGACAUUUAUUAAGCACCUACAAGGUGCCAGGCACUGUUCUGGACCUUGAAGGACACGGAAUUGCCCCUCGGGGGCCCUGUCAUUUUAGCUGGGGGCAUAGAGAACGGACAGGGACAAACACACCGAAGCUCAGAAGCUCCGGGCGGGGUCGCGGCAGCCGGAGCGGAAGGAAUCUUCCCGACAAUCGGGGAUUCAGCCAGGCUGGGCUCCACCCCGGCUCCUCGUCGCCUACUCCCGAGGCCGGUGGUUCAUCUGCGCGGCACGUGUCGAUGUCUGCUCGGUAACUUGGGCUUCCUGCUUAUUCAUUUCUGCUCCCGGAUCCCUCGUUACUAAUCAAGGCCGGCGCGGGGAACAGCCUCUCCACGGGGGAGUUAAAUCGACUGGGACUUCUGUUCUUCGGUUUUGAAGGGAAAAGAAUAAAAUAUUCAGCCUUGUGUUGUGUGUUGAGACGCAGCGGAACUUGAAUGUGCCUUAAAAAGGGCACCUGAAGAGGUGCCGCCAGCGCCAGUCCUCGUUAGUAUAGUGUUUAUCUUCCACUUUUGCAGAAACUCCUUACUCUGGGAGAACCAACCCCACCGGCUGGCGGGCUUCUGUCCCGCGGUCGUGCAUCGCGAGGGCCUGGCUGCAGUCACCGUCCAUCCAGCUCCCUAGCGUCACCUGGUUACAGGACAGAAGACCCAAGUCCUCGCACUGCAGCCAUAUUUCCCAUCUCCUGCAAGCCCACCGCGCUGCUGUGGGUGCUGAGCCGGCCCGCUGGUGUCCCCUCCACCCCCACCCCAACAAGACUGCCAACUCGCAAGGCCAGGAAAUGCUCCUGCUGCUGCAAAUAAUUCCAUCCUCUCAUAUCUUGCUCCAGCCCAGGCUGGCCCUUAAAAAAAGUUUAUGGAUUUUAGAAGGGAGGUAGGAGGAUGCUACACAGAGAGGUCUUCUCAUCUUAACUCCCUGGCAGACUCCUUCCUGAGUAGCUAUCAGCCCUCCCAGGCUCCUACUCUUUCAUUUUUGUCUUUUUUUUUUUUUUCCACAUUCAUUCUGAAAAUAUUUACUCAGUUCCUAUUAGGUGCCAGGUACUAUUCUAGGCAUGAGGCUGUAGCAGGAACCCAAAUGGUCCCUGUCCCUGCCCUAUUGAGCUUUAUGACACAGACCAUAAAGAAAUGCUAAACAAACAAAACCAAACAGGCUUCCAGAGUAAUAAAUAUUAUGAAAACAAAACAAAACCCAUGGGUGGGCCCCAUCAGUGAGGUGGCCAGGAAAGUCCUACUUAAGAUCUGGACAAUGAGAAGGAGCCACUCAAGAGACUAUCUGUGGAGCACCCCUGCAGCCAGAGGGAAGGGCAAGUGCAAAGGCCGUGAGGUGCAAAGGAGGGAGCAUGCCUGCAGAACAGCAAGGAGGCAGGUGUGCCCACAGGAGGGGGAGAGAAAGAAGGGAUGAGGUCAGAGAAAUGGAUCAGAAGGCCUUAAAGGCUAGACUAAGAAGGUUUUUUUUUUUUUUUUUUUUAGACUAAGAAGUUUGGAUUGGACUUUAGGGUUUAUGCAGGGAAGAAACAUAAUUGGGUUUGUUUUGAGCAGAGUAAUCUGGCAAGGGAGAAAACAGGGAAAUAUUCUGAGCCAAACACAAUCCCUCAGCUCAUUCCCAAACUGCGUCCAAAAUGCCAUCCAUGAUGCCAUCACUCUGUGCUGGGCCAAGGUCUCUCCCCGCUAGAGUUCUCAUAAGAACAGUGGCAUUCACCAUCCUGAGAAACCACGCUCUGGCCAGACCUUGUACUGGGUGCUGUUCUAAACGAUCCGUGCACAGCUGUUCAGUGGCUGCACCCACCCCACCCUAGGGGGAAUAGGUGCAACUCACAUCUUCAUUUUAUGGAUGAGGCCCAGAGAGAUAAGGAUAUGAAAUCACAGCUGUGGGUCUGGUGUUUGGGGCUACAGCUCAGUUAGGCCUUCACCUGUGGAGGGUUUCAGGCAUCCGGGGGCUAUAAGGGAGCUGACUGGGGAUCAAGGUUGAAGGACAAUUUAGGGUGUGUUCUCCCCAUCAGAGUAGGUGACUGCUGCCAGGAAAUCUCCAGCACUGGUGGAAAGAGGUGAAGUCCCAGUUUCUGCCCUCUUUGUGCCUUCAGCAGUUCUUUCACCCCUGAGUGGCUCCCUGAGGACUUGGAAGACAGGACACAUCCUUUCCCCUUGGGGCGCUUCAUAAGCACUCUGCACAGUUGUGGCUAAAGGGAGCUGUUAGCAGAACAGUGUAAAGGCAAACAUCACCUGAUGACUGAAACCACAGCAGUAGUGAGAAGGCUCAACUGGGGAGCUCAUGGUCCAUUUCCUGGCACUGCAACUGCAAUAAAAAGACUAGUAAUUGAUUCCUUGCCAUCAGAGGGCGAGUGGAAGGUCUGACUGUGCUGUCAAUAAUCAACCAGUUUGGGAGUGACCCAAAAGGAAACCAGCAUCCCCGGCAGGCAGGGUUUGGCUUCCUGCUUCAUCAGCAACAGGUCACAAACAAAUGAACGAAUCAACAACCGAAGGAAUGGUUUUGAUGCACAUAUUGUUCAUGUUUAUAGUUAUGCAUGAUUUGUAUUUUAUCAUUAAAGAUCAAAGAUGUAUUUUAUUGAA